CUGUAGGGGUUAGAGAGGAGACUAGUUAGAGAGACAACUGUUUUGUGUAGGGGUUAGAGAGGAGACUAGAUAGAGACAACUGUUUUCUGUAGGGGUUAGAGAGGAGACUAGAUAGAGAGACAACUGUUUUGUGUAGGGGUUAGAGAGGAGACUAGAUAGAGACAACUGUUUUGUGUAGGGGUUAGAGAGGAGAGUAGUUAGAGAGACAACUGUUUUGUGUUAGAGAGGAGACUAGUUAGAGAACUGUUUUGUGUAAAGGUUAGAGAGGAGACUAGAUAGAGACAACUGUUUUGUGUAGGGGUUAGAGAGGAGAGUAGUUAGAGAGACAACUGUUUUGUGUUAGAGAGGAGACUAGUUACAGACAACUGUUUUGUGUAGGGGUUAGAGAGGAGACUAGUUACAGACAACUGUUUUGUGUAGGGGUUAGAGAGGAGACUAGAUAGAGACAACUAUUUUGUGUAGGGGUUAGAGAGGAGACUAGUUAGAGACAACUGUUUUGUGUAGGGGUUAGAGAGGAGACUAGUUAGAGAGACAACUGUUUUGUGUAGGGGUUAGAGAGGAGACUAGUAACAGAGACAACUGUUUUGUGUAGGGGUUAGAGAGGAGACUAGACAGAGACAACUGUUUUGUGUAGGGGUUAGAGAGGAGACUAGAUAGAGACAACUGUUUUGUGUAGGGAUAAGAGAGGAGACUAGAUAGAGACAACUGUUUUGUGUAGGGUUUAGAGAGGAGACUAGACAGAGACAACUGUUUUGUGUAGGGAUAAGAGAGGAGACUAGAUAGAGACAACUGUUUUGUGUAGGGUUUAGAGAGGAGACUAGACAGAGACAACUGUUUUGUGUAGGGAUAAGAGAGGAGACUAGAUAGAGACAACUGUUUUGUGUAGGGUUUAGAGAGGAGACUAGACAGAGACAACUGUUUUGUGUAGGGAUAAGAGAGGAGACUAGAUAGAGACAACUGUUUUGUGUAGGGUUUAGAGAGGAGACUAGACAGAGACAACUGUUUUGUGUAGGGAUAAGAGAGGAGACUAGAUAGAGACAACUGUUUUGUGUAGGGGUUAGAGAGGAGACUAGAUAGAGACAACUGUUUUGUGUAGGGGUUAGAGAGGAGACUAGAUAGAGACAACUGUUUUGUGUAGGGGUUAGAGAGGAGACUAGAUAGAGACAACUGUUUUGUGUAGGGGUUAGAGAGGAGACUAGAUAGACAACGGUUAUCUGUAGGGGUUAGAGAGGAGACUAGAUAGAGACAACUGUUUUGUGUAGGGGUUAGAGAGGAGACUAGAUAGAGACAACUGUUUUGUGUAGGGUUUAGAGAGGAGACUAGAUAGAGACAACUGUUUUGUGUAGGGUUUAGAGAGGAGACUAGAUAGAGACAACUGUUUUGUGUAGGGGUUAGAGAGGAGACUAGACAGAGACAACUGUUUUGUGUAGGGAUAAGAGAGGAGACUAGAUAGACAACGGUUAUCUGUAGGGGUUAGAGAGGAGACUAGUUAGAGAGACAACUGUUUUGUUUAGGGGUUAGAAAGGAGACUAGUUAGAGAGACAACUGUUUUGUUUAAGGGUUGGGAGAGCAGGCGGAGCCCACCACCACCACUACUACUACUACUACUGGUACUACUACUACUAACACUACUACUAAUACUGCUACUUCUACUACUAAUACUCUAGGACAGCAGUUUGAGAAGACCAGAGGAAGUGAUGGAGCAUCAGUCUGAAUGCAGAUGUCCAUAUGACUGGGGCGGCAGGGUAGCCUAGUGGUUAGAGUAUUGGACUAGUAAUCGGAAUGGUUGCAAUUUGUGGGGAAUUUAUAUUUGAUGAGACCAUUUUCGAUGUUUAGGGAGGCUAGGUUGUAUCCCAUCUCAAUAUUAGACUGUUUUUAAUAAAGAUUGUAACGAAAAUCCUGAUAAGAAGAGUUAUAAUUCUGAUAUAGGUUUAAAGGUUAGAUUAAGGUUAAGGUUAGAUUUGAUUAAUAAUGGGUGAAGAGUCGGAUAAACAUUUAUAAUAAUGUUGGUUAUGUGUCUAUUCAUAUGAUAAUCUGGUAAACCUUUAUAAUAAGGUUAAUUAUAAGUCUAUUCGUAUGAUAAAUCUGAUAAACCUUUAUAAUAAGGUUAGUUAUAAGUUUGUUCAUAUUUUUGUUUUUUUAUGUUUGAUAAAAUUAGAUGUAGAUUUGAAUGUAUAAUAUUUAAUCAAAGGGAGGAUUGUUGUAGGAAAUUAUAGUUGAAUUGAUUAAUUAUGUAUACAUUUAAAUUAGAACCAUUUAUUUUAAUACUAUUAUGUUAUGGUAUUAAAUGUAUGGGUUCUUGGUUAAGCUGUUCCUGAAAAUGUAAGUAAAACAAAUUAAUUGUCUGUACCUUGCGGGUUUAAGGGAGGGGGAUGGCAUAUAUCUUUUCAGACAGAUAAGAAUGUUUGUUUGAUGUUCCAUUAGUGGAGAAACGUAUAUCUUUUAGACAGAUUGGAAUGUUUGUUUUAUGAGGGAGUAGAAGACAAUUUCCAGACCUGAAGACACUGCGCUAUUGUGUGGAUCGGAGAGGGUGUGAGAAACUUAUGACGUCAUUUUAUGUUCUCUCCUUAAAAUGUAAUGUUCUUUGUAUUUUGAGUCAGUACUCAUCAAGAAUAAAUGCUGAACUUGUUUUUAA